rnacentral:misc_RNA from 1 species
AACUGAUACUACCUGCGGGAACCUGCGGAGGGAUCAUUAACACAAAAAAAAUGAUAACCUUUUUGAUUGAUAUAGAGAGGAGGGGGAAACUUUUCUUCUCUAUACAAUCAAAUUACCACAAUGGAAAAUGUUAAAGUCUAUCAACAUUAUUAUCAAUGUUGAUAGUCUUUAUACAAUUACCACAUACCAAAAACCACGUUUAAAAACCAUUAGAUUCUGUUAUGAUUAUAUCUAAAACAU